CAGUUGUUGGUGGAGGUAUCGUCCCGCUCCCGUCCCAGCUGACUUGAUCUGUUGCGUCCUGUGGUGCUAAGAUACUUUGUUAAAAUAGAACCUCAUUACUGAUAUUAGUGUAGAGUUUCCCUGGUAUAAAAGAAUCCUUGAAUAGAGACUGUGCCCGGUGACGCAGGAAACAGUGGCGGAAGCACUUAACGUGUGGCACAAAAGAGAUGCCAUGAAUGUGUGACCGGCGAGGAGUUUCAGCAGCCAUAACAACAAGUUGUAAUGUUUGGUGUCUCUCCUAAGACUGAAGAAGAAAUCUCCAAACGUUCGGCUAUGGUAGUCGGCAUCAACUUCACGACGAUUCCCCUGUCACAGGUCAUGGUGGGACGCCUCUGACCAGCCAUGGGCUUGACAAGAGUAUCGCCGGUGGUGCGAGUCGGUGGACGUGGGUGGCUCAUCCUAGACGCCCGCCUCGCCGCCCUCACAGCUGCCCUCUACACCAUUUGCUCGUCUGGGCUGGUGACGCUGUUGUAUGGCUGGUGGCUGCUGGUGAAUAUAC